rnacentral:lncRNA from 1 species
AAAGAGCGAACAAAAAUGCUAAGCCGUGUUUGAUUCGCUUAUUUUUUACCGUGGAAUCGGAAUCGGAAUGGGCAAAUCCGUUUGUGAGUGUUUGGUACGCGGGAGUCACAUUCCGAUUCCGAUUCUCGAGUGGAAUGAGAAUCCCCCAAUCACCUCUUUUUCAAAUCUGGCCUAGAAGGCCAGAUUGGAAGUUGAAUCCGGACGGAAUUAAAUUUAUUUUUUUAACUUUUUAAUUAAAAUAUGAGUUUAAAUUUAGAAGUUAAAUAUAUAAUUUUAAUUUUAAUUUAAACUUGAAAUAAAAAUGCAAAAUUUAAUGAAGUAUUUCAAAUCUAACUUGUGAAUUUGAAUUUAAAUUAAAUUUUAAUUUAAUGCGUAAUAUACUAAACUGUACGUAAUUUAGUAUAAAAAUUAUACAAAAUGUGUAUUAACAAUGCAUAUGUUGUACUACUUAUACAGAUAUUAUACUAUUUGGAAGAGUAUGUUGCAAUAUUUGAGAGUAUGUUGCACUCUUUCAUCUUAUUAAUUAUUUUUUAUUCUUUUUAUUUUGUCUUGAAUGGGGUUUCUUGUUUCACGAGAAAGUUACAUGUAAUUAUGGCUUAGCAGCUGUCAUUUUUGAAGAAAUUUAACACUUUAUUUAAUAUGCAAUGAAAUUUUAUUUUUUAAAAAAAAAGUGCAACACACAUCUAAAUGGUGCAAUAUCCUCUCAUAAUAGUACAACGUUUACAAAAAUAGUGUAAAUAUCUGUACAAAUAGUGUAAAAUAUGCACUGUUUGUACAUAUAUUGUAUAAUUUUUAUAGUAUGUUGUAAUAUAUUAUAUUAUUUUUGCGUAAUAUACUAAACUAUACGUAAUUUAGUGUAAAAAUCAUAUAAAAUAUAUAUUAACAUUGCAUAUGUUGCACUACUUAUAUAGAUAUUAUACUAUUUGAAAGAGCAUGUUGCAUUAUUUGAGAGGAUGUUGCAUCUUUCAUCUUAUUAAUUAUUCUUUAUUUUUUUUAUUUUGUCUUAAAUGAGGUUUCUCGUUUCACGAGAAAGGUACGUAUAAUUAUGGCUUAGCAGUUGUCAUUUUCAAAAAAUUUGACACUUUAUUUAAUAUGCAAUAAAAUUUAUUUUUCAAAAAGAAAGAAUGCAAUACAUAUCUAAAUAGUGCAAUAUCUUCUCAUAAUAGUGCAACGUUUAUACAAAUAGUAUAAAUAUCUAUACAAAUAGUAUAAAAUAUGUAUCGUUUAUAUAUAAAUUGUAUAAUUUUUACAAUAUGUUGUAAUAUAUUAUAUUAUUUUCACGUAAUAUAUUAAACUGUACGUAAUUUAGUGUAAAAAUCAUGCAAAAUGUGUAUUAAUAUUGCAUAUAUUGCACUAUUUAUAUAGAUAUUGCACAAUUUGAAAGAGCAUGUUGCACUCUUUCAUCUUAUUAAUUAUACAUUAUUCUUUUUAUUUUGUCUUGCAUGAGAUUUCUUGUUUUAUGAGAAAGGUGCAUGUAAUUAUGGCUUAACAGUUAUCAUUUCCAAAAAAUUUGACACUUUAUUUAAUAUGCAAUAAAAUUUAUUUUUCAAAACGAAAAAGUGUAACACACAUCUAAAUGGUACAACAUCCUCUCAUAAUAGUGCAACAUUUACACAAAUGGUAUAAAUAUCUAUACAAAUAGUGUAAAAUAUGCAAUGUUUGUACAUAUAUUAUAUAAUUUUUAUAGUAUGUUGUAAUAUAUUAUAUUAUUUUCGCGUAAUAUACUAAACUGUACUUAAUUUAGUAUAAAAAUCAUGCAAAAUGUGUAUUAAUAAUGCAUAUGUUGCACUACUUAUACAAAUAUUGCACUUUUGGAAGAAUAUGUUGCACUAUUUGAGAGGAUAUUGCACUCUUUCAUCUUAUUAAUAUUCUUUAUUUUUUUUAUUUUGUCUUAAAUGAGAUUUCUUGUUUUACGAGAAUGGUACAUGUAAUUAUCGUUUAGCAGUUGUCAUUUUCAAGAAAUCUGACACUUUAUUUAAUAUGCAAUGAAAUUUAAUUUUUAAAAAGAAAUGAUGCAACACACAUCUAAAUGGUGCAAUAUCCUUUCAUAAUAGUGCAACGUUUACACAAAUGGUGUAAAUAUCUGUACAAAUAGUGUAAAAUAUACACCGUUUGUAUAUAUAUUGUAUAAUAUUUAUAGUAUGUUGUAAUAUUAUAUUAUUUUCGCGUAAUAUACUAAACUAUACGUAAUUUAGUGUAAAAAUCAUGCAAAAUGUAUAUUAACAAUGCAAAUUGUAGUUUUCCGGAGAUUUGUAUCGAAUUGGCUAUAGUAUUAGUGACUGGUCGUCACAUCUGGAGAGUGUUGGACUGAGUGGGAGUCGUUUCUGCACGAAAUGGAUCCAGAAUUAAGUUUUCCGCCCUUGGAUUAAAAGAUGUGCGGUUAGGAUGAUUUGGGCCCCAUAGGGUUGAGUGGGUAGUUGGUUGAAUAGUAUAAUCUAACGGAUAAAAAUAAUCAAAGAGGUUAAUCUAACGGCAGAAAACUUGAUAGUACCAAGUGCUUGGUGCUAUUGAUAGCAUAGCAGCCGGACUCUAAGUAAAAUAUCAAUUUUGUCAUCACAAAUAUGUCCAUCCAAAAACCACAGUAGUAUAAUAUAAGAGGAAUAAAAAUGUCAGAUUACCUCAUAAACUAAACAGGAUUAAGUAUUUAACUUAUAGUUAACUAAAUUUUUUUAACGGAUUCUAACGAUAGGGAUAUACGACUCAGAUCUCA